CAAAUAUUUUCUUAUUUUUUCCGAUUUACAUUUUUUGGCAGGUAUCUGAUCCUUGGUUCCUUGCAUACAUUUUUCUAUUUCUUGGUGCCUAUGGAAAAGACUGCUUAGAUUUCGUAUUCGCCAAAGGCACAUUCCGAAGAUGGUGGAGUGAUCAAAGAAUGUGGCAUAUGAGGGGAGUUUCAUCACAUUUAUUUGGAUCAAUAGAAUUCAUAACCAAAAGAUUGGGCAUCUCCACACAAGGAUUCAAUGUGACAAGCAAAGUAAUGGAUGACGAACAAAGUAAAAGAUAUGAUCAAGGAAUAAUUGAAUUUGGAGUAGAAUCCCCUAUGUUUGUGACAUUAGCAAUGGCUGCAACUCUGAAUUUAAUGGCCUUUUUCUGUGGUGGGAUAGUGCAGAUUUUCAAGGAGAGAAAUUUGGAAGUAUUUUUUGUACAAGUGUUUAUUGCAGGAUUUGCGGUACUGAAUUGCUUGCCUAUAUAUGAAGCCAUGUUUUUUAGAAGUGAUAAAGGAAGGAUGCCUACAAGGACUACCAUCAUUUCUACUCUUCUUGUAGGAGGGCUUUGUGCAGCUUCCUCUUUUAUACUCAAGAUGUGAAAUUUAAUGGGGAUUAUUACUCGAUAACUUCAUGUAAAACUAUUUAAUGUAUUUCUCGGCAUGUUUAGUAUGAAAUAUUUGUAUAUGAUUUAUAGUACUUUGAAUAAAACUUUAGCUUCUUUUGAUUUUCUUGAUUUGUCCAUUGUUGUAUUAUUGAAUUUACUAAACAAGCCUUUG
rnacentral:lncRNA from 1 species